AGUAACUCCAUAAUCCAUGCCAUUUGAACAGCCAAUGAUGAAGACGAAAGUGCUCUAUCAUCCCCUUCUCUAUAAUCAACAGCACUAGCAGAUGGCACAAUGAUUUCCUCAAAAACCUGUUCAAGAGUGAUCCGGGAUCGACAAGCUGCCCGGAUAUAAUUCAUCACAUAUCGAGUGAUUGGGUGGAGUCCGCCGCCAGGCACUGGAGUCUUAGCAGGAUCACGGCGAAUCAAAUUCUCCAACUCCAUAAAUAUCCCUCUAAUAGCCUCACCUAAUCUUCUCCAUAUAGUCAAUGCUUCAUUCCUCAAUAGCACACAAUAUUGAUCCGAAAACAUAAAUUCAAAUUCAGGCAUCAAAUCCCUAAGCGCCUCAUAAACAUCAAGUACCUUGAAAAGUCUCUCCGGUGCCCGACUAGAGAUCGCAACAGCAUCGGCAAAGUUGAGAAGUUGAAUAGUAGAACCUCUAGAAACUUCCAUAAAAGAUAGAUCAGAAACAGAGUUGAAUCCAAAGAAGACCCGAUCACAAAGUCGACGUUCACUCGGGAACAGAAUUCGGAGAGCUACGUUGACCGCUUUAACCCAUUUUUCAAUCUCAUCUUCAAGCUCAUUCCACUGCAUUUUCUGCACUUGAUCCAUACUCAGCUUCUGCAACCCCAAUCUACUUAAACUCUCUUCUAAAAACUCUCUUCUAGACACACUAUACGCGUGUGAACACUCUUUGUCAUACCCAGCAGCCACCAUUCUCUUAGCAAUCUCAUGAAGAUCACUAAUGAUUCCCGCCGGUAAAGCUUCAAUAAGAAUCCCGUAAUCCGUAACAGGAUGUGCUAUAGGAAUCUCGCCACUAUCAUCAUCAUCAUCAUCACAGAGCCAAUAAGUUACA
rnacentral:misc_RNA from 1 species